CUUCACUACCAAAAUCAAACACCAGUACCUGGGAGAAAUGGCACAAAAGAAUUUGUUAACUUCAAGAACAUGCAACAGUUGAAUCAGGUGCAACAGGGUCUCUUGUUGACAGUGAGUCAAACGGAGGAAGACAGAAAUCCUAACGGGGCGACCAACACAGACACAAAAAGGCCAGGAGAUCUCAGCUGGCACUGCCCCACCGAGCCAGC
rnacentral:lncRNA from 1 species